GCAUGUCAUGGACGCCAGAUGCUUUCAUUAAAAAAAAAAAAAAAAGAGAGAAGAAAGAAAACAACCCUAAGCUCUGACCAUGUAUUUCCCAGUCUGGUGUGAAGGUCUCAUGGGGCUGCUGAAGCCCAGAGCCCACCUUACAGCCUCAAACAAAACCAUCACAACCUUUCACCCAAGCGCAGGAGAGCCAACACAGCUCGGGUGGGAAAUGUGGCUCCAGUUCGAUGCAUUUACCUCUUUUCCUCAUCCAAAAACCCGUGGCCGAUUUGAAUCAGCCCAGCAAAGACAGACUCACUCCCUGCAAAUGUCCUCCAGCCAAAUGGCUGUAAACACACCAGUGUGAGCUCAACCCCUAUAGGACACUGGAGAAGCUGGGUGAGGAAAUAAAAUAGUGCCAGUG